UUGUAUUCACCUCUUGAUCCCCAAUCUCUGGCUCCUUGGACCCCCCUAGUUCCAUCCUCCCCCCCAACCCCCAUCACCGACCUCUUCACCCAUCCAAUGGCUAUCACUGCGGGUGCCCAGCCGGGAGCCAAGGUGGGACGGCACUUCCGUGUGUGCGGGUUUGGGAGGAGGGGGCGGCGUGGUGACACUCCACGCUCCCAGAUGUGGUGGCAGCGAUAAUUCCAAUUUUAUGCCUUUGUUAUGGCUUUAAUCACUUUCUUUAUGCGUUUUGUUCCAGCGAUCAGGGAGAGACACCUGAUAGGCAAAGAGGAUACCAGGGGAACCAUUUUUAUUUGGAAUGUGGUGAGAAGUCUAAUUAGAAUCUGAAUUCUGCUGAGCCUUGAAAUGGCCAGCACUUUAUCCUGAUCGCCUUAGAUAUUGUUUCGAGUCAAUCAUCUGUCAUGUGCGGCAGGAGAGCCGCUCCCUCCACACCACCCUCCCUCCUGCUGCAGACCCGGCCUGGGCACACUGACGGGAAGGGGGUGCCUCCUCCGGGGGUGCUGUUUUGUAUGGCCCACCCUUCCUUGAAAGGCCCCUCUUUGCUGGGAUGCUGAGCUGAAUUCGUAGAAGGAAGGGGCUGCAGGAAGAGGGAGCUGAGGGGACUGUAUUAGAAUUGGGGAAUAUUGGGGUGAUGCCAAGCUAGUCUGGGCACCUCCUAAGAGCUCCCAGCACUUUGACCACCCCACCACCUUUCUGUCAAUGGCCACAGGGACUCUCAUUUCUUUAUAUCCCCCAGACAAAUUGUCUCUCCUACCUGCGAACUGUACCUCAAACUCCCCACUCCCAUUGCCAGCCCCUCCCUGGCCCCCCAUUUGCCAGCCACUCAGCUCCAUUUCUCUGAUUUGCUUUCACUCCAGUCUGGCCGCUGGAAUGUUGUUCCUAUUUGUUCUUCCUGUUUAGGACUCCUGCCAUCUGUCAAGUCCCCAGACUGGUUCCGCCUCCUCCAGAAAGCCUUUCCUGAUUGCCUGAACCCACAAUGUGGCUACAGUGCAAAACCCAGGCUUCAGCUGGGCCCUCUUCUCUCCUACCGCUUCUCAGAAGACACAUCCGCUCGGCACCUUCAGCUAACACCUUCCUGCAGGUGAUGGGACCCCUGGCCUCGGACUCCAAGCCUCUGUUCAGAUCCAAGUCCACAAUCCACACACCACAAGGCUAAUAUGUUGAAAAGCAAACUCAUCUGUCUCUCUUAACGCCAGAAACAAUGUGUGAUUCCCUAUUUGGUAAAUAGCCCUGUCACCCACCCACGUACCCUCACAAAAACUUUGGACCCUCUAGCUCUUCACCCAGCCCAUCUCUACCUUCAAUCAGCUUACAAAUUCGAGAUACUUCCUAUGUCUUUUGCACCCACUUUUCCCUCAUCAUCACCACUCACCCCAGGAAUGCCCUUAUCACAGCUUUCCUGGAUCUCUUCAAUCCAAUCAAACCUUUACUGAGUGACCACCAUACACCGGUCUCCAGGCAAAGCAUCUUCCUCCAAGCGGGGCUCUCUGCCUUUAAGUUCUACGUCUCCAAUUGUUCUGUGGCUGCUGCCAGGUUGAUGUUCCUAAAGCACACCUCUAAUCAUGUCACUCGGCUGCUCAGACACCCUCAAUGGCUCCCCACUGCCUACUAAAUAAAGUACAAACUCCUUA